GCCGAGCCUUGUAAGUGGUGGAAUGUUAGACUGACACUGACGGCUGGGCUUGGAGGGCUAAUCUUUGGCUUGCGAAGGUAUAGGUUGCUUGGCCUUUAGAGUGGGAUGGACUGCGUGAGGUUGGUUUCACAGAGCAACGAAUAGUCCCCGCUUUGUGCAGUGGAAGGAUAACGAGCCGGUGCUUUUCAAGUUCAAUAAACACUUGAUGUGCUGUCUAUUUAAACCACCAUUUUU
rnacentral:SRP_RNA from 1 species